rnacentral:rRNA from 1 species
CAGCGUCACGAGUGGCAAUCAGAUUUAUUGGGUCUAAAGCGUCCGUAGCCGGUUUGAUAAGUCUUUUGUGAAAUUGUUGUGCUUAACAUAACAACGUGCAAGAGAUACUGUCAGACUUGGAACUGGGAGGGGUUAGAGGUAUUCCUUGGGGAGCGGUAAAAUGCUAUAAUCCUUGGAGGACCACCUGUGGCGAAGGCUUCUAACCAGAACAGCUUCGACGGUGAGGGACGAAAGCUAGGGGAGCAAACCGGAUUAGAUACCCGGGUAGUCC